GACGAACGCUGGCGGCGUGCCUAAUACAUGCAAGUCGACCUGAGUCGCGAACGGGUGAGUAACGCGUAGGUAACCCGCCUCAUAGCGGGGGAUAACUUUUGGAAACGAUAGCUUAUACCGUACACUGUUAGAUGGACCUGGGUUGUAGUAGCUAGUUGGGGAGGUAAAGGCUCACCAAGGCGACGAUGCAUAGCCGACCUGAGAGGGUGAUCGGCCACACUGGGACUGAGACACGGCCCAGACUCCUACGGGAGGCAGCAGUGGGGAAUCUUCGGCAAUGGACGGAAGUCUGACCGAGCAACGCCGCGUGAGUGAAGAAGGUUUUCGGCUCGUAAAGCUCUGUUGUUAGAGAAGCGGUAUCUAACCAGAAAGCCACGGCUAACUACGUGCCAGCAGCCGCGGUAAUUC
rnacentral:rRNA from 1 species